GACGAACGCUGGCGGCGUGCCUAAUACAUGCAAGUCGAACGCAGUGGGGAUGGGUGAGUAACACGUGGGUAACCUCCCAUCAGAGGGGAUAACACUUGGAAACAGGUGCUAAACCGAUAUCGAUGGAUGGACCCGCGGUGCAUUUGCUAGUUGGAGAGGUAACGGCUCACCAAGGCCAAGAUGCAUAGCCGACCUGAGAGGGUGAUCGGCCACACUGGGACUGAGAUACGGCCCAGACGCCUACGGUAGGCAGCAGUAGGGAAUCUUCGGCAAUGGACGAAAGUCUGACGGAGCAACGCCGCGUGAGUGAAGAAGGUUUUCGGAUCGUAAAGCUCGUUUGUUAGUGAAGCGUUACCUAACCAGAAAGCCACGGCUAACUACGUGCCAGCAGCCGCGGUAAUAC
rnacentral:rRNA from 1 species